rnacentral:sRNA from 1 species
GCAAAGUCUCGAAAUUGCAGAGUAGGGGACGUUCUGCUUCCUUUUAAGCGCUAGGAGGUGCAAUGAAUGCGUAUCCGGGAGGCUAUACCGGCACCACCUGUGCAGGGUGCACCCUGAGGAGGGUACGGGAAGUGGGAGGGCAUGGUAUCUGCCUCCAGCAUAUAUGCCUUGGUUAGAUCUGUCCAUGCCCUCUGAAACAAAGGACGAGUCGAAAGCAACAAGGGAAAAACUUCGGAGAUUGAUUGUCUGCCCUCCCCUUCCCAUAUCCUCUCCAUGCCCUCCCCAUGCCCUCCUGUUUUGUGUGAUCACGGUUAAGUCAUGUCAAUAUUUGCUUUUUGUCUUAUUAGUUUUAUAAAAAAAAUUAAUAUAAAAUGCUGAUGUUACACCCAACCCCCAAAUAUUUGUAUAAUUUCGUAAGUCCCUAAAAUUUUAAUGAAAACUUCAUUUUGGUCCCCUAGCUUCACUAAAU